rnacentral:rRNA from 1 species
AACUUUCAACAACGGAUCUCUUGGCUCUCGCAUCGAUGAAGAACGCAGCGAAAUGCGAUACGUAAUGUGAAUUGCAGAAUUCAGUGAAUCAUCGAAUCUUUGAACGCACCUUGCGCCCCUUGGUAUUCCGAGGGGCACACCCGUUUGAGUGUCGUGAAAACCU